UCUAAUUCGAAUCACAAAUAUCAUUUUUAAAAAUGUUGAAUAUCUUCUCUGAUCCGUAGUAGAUGUGUAAUAUAGUUACGUAUAGAUAAAUUAUGAGAAAACCACCAAAAAAAACUCUACACUUUCAAAAAAAAGCCAAAAAAAAUAUCAACUCAUAAAUGAGCAAUUUAAAUCCCCAACUUUUGAAUAUUGGCCUUUUUAAUCUUGUUUUUAUGUUGACUUGGCCAUUUUAACUUAAAAAUAGUCCACGUUAACUUUGAUUAAUAAAAAAUAAACAUCUGUUAAGUUAUGAAACUACGUAGUUUUAGUAAUUAAAAGAAAUAGUGCAAUACGUAAGAAAAAAAGCCGUCGAACCCUAACUCCUUCA
rnacentral:lncRNA from 1 species